UACGGGGGGAGCAAGCGUUGUUCGGAUUUACUGGGCGUAAAGGGCGCGUAGGCGGCCACCGCAAGUCGACUGUGAAAUCUCCGGGCUUAACCCGGAAAGGUCAGCCGAUACUGCGGGGCUAGAGUGCAGAAGGGGCAACUGGAAUUCUCGGUGUAGCGGUGAAAUGCGUAGAUAUCAGGAGGAACACCGGUGGCGAAGGCGGAUCUCUGGGCCAUUACUGACGCUGAGGAGCGAAAGCGUGGGGAGCGAACAGG
rnacentral:rRNA from 1 species